rnacentral:rRNA from 1 species
UACAGAGGUGGCAAGCGUUGUUCGGAAUUACUGGGCGUAAAGGGCGCGUAGGUGGCCAUCUAAGUCAGACGUGAAAUCCCCCGGCUUAACCUGGGAACUGCGUCUGAUACUGGACGGCUUGAGUAUGGGAGAGGAAUGUAGAAUUCCAGGUGUAGCGGUGAAAUGCGUAGAUAUCUGGAGGAAUACCGGUGGCGAAGGCGGCAGUCUGGACCAUUACUGACACUGAAUCGCGAAAGCUAGGGGAGCAAACGGG